UACAGAGGGUGCGAGCGUUAAUCGGAAUUACCGGGCGUAAAGCGUGCGUAGACGGCUAUCUAAGUCGGGUGUGAAAGCCCCGGGCUCAACCUGGGAAUUGCAUUCGAGACUGAAUAGCUAGGGUACGGUAGAGGGAAGUGGAAUUUCCGGUGUAGCGGUGAAAUGCGUAGAUAUCGGAAGGAACAUUAGUGGCGAAAGCGACUUCCUGGACCAGUACCGACGUUCAGGCACGAAAGCGUGGGGAGCAAACAGG
rnacentral:rRNA from 1 species